GCUGGAGGUAUCAGAAGUGCGAAUGCUGACAUAAGUAACGAUAAAGCGGGUGAAAAGCCCGCUCGCCGGAAGACCAAGGGUUCCUGUCCAACGUUAAUCGGGGCAGGGUGAGUCGACCCCUAAGGCGAGGCCGAAAGGCGUAGUCGAUGGGAAACGGGUUAAUAUUCCCGUACUUGGUGUUACUGCGAAGGGGGGACGGAGAAGGCUAUGUUGGCCGGGCGACGGUUGUCCCGGUUUAAGCGUGUAGGCUGGUUUUCCAGGCAAAUCCGGAAAAUCAAGGCUGAGGCGUGACGACGAGGCACUACGGUGCUGAAGCAACAAAUGCCCUGCUUCCAGGAAAAGCCUCUAAGCAUCAGGUAACAUCAAAUCGUACCCCAAACCGACACAGGUGGUCAGGUAGAGAAUACCAAGGCGCUUGAGAGAACUCGGGUGAAGGAACUAGGCAAAAUGGUGCCGUAACUUCGGGAGAAGGCACGCUGACACGUAGGUGAAGUGAUUUACUCACGGAGCUGAAGUCAGUCGAAGAUACCAGCUGGCUGCAACUGUUUAUUAAAAACACAGCACUGUGCAAACACGAAAGUGGACGUAUACGGUGUGACGCCUGCCCGGUGCCGGAAGGUUAAUUGAUGGGGUCAGCGCAAGCGAAGCUCCUGAUCGAAGCCCCGGUAAACGGCGGCCGUAACUAUAACGGUCCUAAGGUAGCGAAAUUCCUUGUCGGGUAAGUUCCGACCUGCACGAAUGGCGUAAUGAUGGCCAGGCUGUCUCCACCCGAGACUCAGUGAAAUUGAACUCGCUGUGAAGAUGCAGUGUACCCGCGGCAAGACGGAAAGACCCCGUGAACCUUUACUAUAGCUUGACACUGAACAUUGAGCCUUGAUGUGUAGGAUAGGUGGGAGGCUUUGAAGUGUGGACGCCAGUCUGCAUGGAGCCGGCCUUGAAAUACCACCCUUUAAUGUUUGAUGUUCUAACGUGGACCCGUGAUCCGGGUUGCGGACAGUGUCUGGUGGGUAGUUUGACUGGGGCGGUCUCCUCCUAAAGAGUAACGGAGGAGCACGAAGGUUGGCUAAUCCUGGUCGGACAUCAGGAGGUUAGUGCAAUGGCAUAAGCCAGCUUGACUGCGAGCGUGACGGCGCGAGCAGGUGCGAAAGCAGGUCAUAGUGAUCCGGUGGUUCUGAAUGGAAGGGCCAUCGCUCAACGGAUAAAAGGUACUCCGGGGAUAACAGGCUGAUACCGCCCAAGAGUUCAUAUCGACGGCGGUGUUUGGCACCUCGAUGUCGGCUCAUCACAUCCUGGGGCUGAAGUAGGUCCCAAGGGUAUGGCUGUUCGCCAUUUAAAGUGGUACGCGAGCUGGGUUUAGAACGUCGUGAGACAGUUCGGUCCCUAUCUGCCGUGGGCGCUGGAGAACUGAGGGGGGCUGCUCCUAGUACGAGAGGACCGGAGUGGACGCAUCACUGGUGUUCGGGUUGUCAUGCCAAUGGCACUGCCCGGUAGCUAAAUGCGGAAGAGAUAAGUGCUGAAAGCAUCUAAGCACGAAACUUGCCCCGAGA
rnacentral:rRNA from 1 species